AAAAAAAAAAACUCGGCCGCACCCCAGUCCGCAGCCUGCCCCAAAUCACAACCUCAUCCAAAUCGACCUACCCUACUUCCACCCCGGCCACCUCGCCGCCGAGCACCUUCCGCUGUGGCCGACCACCAUUCGCCACCCCAAGCAUCCCACCGCAGUGCCUCCCCGACUAUUGUCGCCAGCCACCCUUCGCCUCUUCGUCCCAAACUAUCUGCACAAGGACGGGAAGGGAGGGAGACCCGAUGGGCGGAGGAGGUCGAAGCCGUUGCCCACACCGCGGAUCUGCCGCGGGGAUGCGGGAAGAAAGGACGCGGUUGCGCGGCCCCCGGAUCCGGCGAAGGACGUGCGCAAGAGGCGGCCAACGGGGCGCGGGGCACAACUCCAGAUCCGGGCGGCCCGAGCAGAGCGUGAAGCUAGGAAGCGGGCAUAUGCUUUGGGUGGCCGCCUUCGGUGCAGCCGGCGGCAACGGCAUGGCUGUAGUUUGGCGCCUAGGUUUGGGUGCCCCAGUGGCACCCUUGCAAGUGACAGGAAGUGAGCGACCAGGAACCAGAAGAUGCCGGCAGUCUGGUAACAUAUGGAUUUCUCCUCUCUUCUAGUAGAUAAUCCAGAUUGUUUUGUCUUUCGUGAGCUUUUGUGCUGAUGUGUGAUCCAAAAUUUGGACGCAUAUCAAUUGUUUGACCCAUGUGCUAGAAGGAUCUGGUGUAGUUUGUUUAAUCAAUGAUAUACCAGUUUACAUGUACUUGGGAAGUUUUCAUCAGCUGUACUUGCAUAUUGGAGUGAAGGUGCAAAAGUUUAGCAAUUCUUCAUUUUAUUUCUUUAAUUCUGUAAGUUGUGUUGAAAGUUGUCAAUGAUUACAAUUAGAAUCGAAGCAAUGCUACUUUUACCCCCUCCGUUAAAAAAUGCUACUUGUACUGACUUUGUCAAGCAUUAUAGUGUAUAGAUAAGUGUAUAUCUGCAGAGUGUUAUGUAGAUGGCUUGAAACUUCUUUAUGGGUAAUUGAAAAGGACGAACAACUAAACUGUAUCUCAUAGAUGAACACUACUAUUUACUGUCUCACCCGAGCUAGUAUUAUUGUAGCAGGCAUUGCAUUGUCUAAAAUGGAUAUGCAGAAUUACCUAGCAAUCAGGUCUUGUACAAUCUGGAUAAAUAUGGAGUGACAUUUGCGAGCUGUGGCAUGGCCUGCACUAACGUUCACAAGGCUGGUGUCUCUUUUAAAAAACCAUGCAUUUAGUUGUUGUUUGCUUUGACCUGAUCUGGUAGCAAGUGUUUUUUAUGCAUCUUUAGUGAAGAAGUUUUUGAGUGGCUGUCUGCUCGGAGCUACCGGAAGAGCAGCUAGCCAACGCACAAAGACCAAGGCGGAGAAUGAAGCUAGAAGCGAGACAGAAUACCCGAGGAAGGUCGACCUUGAGACUUACUUGAGCCACGAGAAUAUUUCCCUUGAGUUCGAGAGGAUGUUCAGUUGCUUCAUCACUUAGCAUUAUUGACUAUGCACACUGCCUAUAAGUAGUCCGACCAAUUCAGUGAGCAGCAGCAGGGGCAGGCUGGCAGAACCUCAUCAGCCCCAUUUGCUUUGCAACCAGGAUGGACGCCACCUCAAAAUGAUCUAAUAUUUUUUCAGUCCAUUUUCCAUUUUAUCCUUUUGUAGUUUGUUUAAUUUUGGCUCCCUGAUUGGUCUUCUCCUUGUGUACAGUUUGCUCAAACAGGGAAUCGAGGACAGCAAGGACCAUUGAAGCCCGAGAUGUUUGGAAUUGGACAGUUCAAUCUCUACUUUUCUCCUCCAAUGAUUCAGUUGAGGUCUUGAGGGGCACCAUUUUUGAAGUUCGCUCUGGACCUCGAAAAAUUCAGGACCGGCCCUGUAUAUAUGUAGUGUUAUUUACUUUGUUGUUUGUAGAUGCAAGUUACCAAAUAUAGGUUAAUAUCUAGCCUGUAGUAAAUGUGAAGUUAGGAAUGAGAUUUUCCUUAUGCAUUUUCUGGUUUGUGAAGCAGCUUUUGGUAACCUGGUUCAUUUAGUCUAUUGAUGUUCAACUUUUAUACAGUUUCUUCAUUGUAUAAAUUAAAUUGCAUGCUGCCUCUGUAAUAGUAUAAGUACUAUUCCUAGCCUUACUUAUAGAACUUUGUGUAACUAUAGGUAUUUAUUUUCCUCUAAAAUAGAUUUAUAUUUCAAGGAAGCAGAUUCAUAAGUAAAAUCAUAGUAUUAUAGGCAGAACAAGUUCUUGCAAAACAUCAACAUGAAAGAGGUUUGCUGAUGGUUCUAGGACCGAUGCUCUUAGGGACCAUGAGUAUGUCCUUACCGAUGCUCGUUGGCGAUCUUCCUCUGGAAUGAGUUCCUAAUUUUCUUGUGUUGGGAUAUCCAUGCAACUAAACUUAUGAUAUAUUGUGGCAUUCUUCUCUUACAUGCAGUACUUUUGCACACUCUGGUAAUAUCCCUUUUGAUGUUCUUUUUAAUGUAACUUUGGUUAGAAAACUUGGGAGAUCUUGAUAGGAGUGAUGAACUUGAUAGAACUUGUAAUAUGGUAGCGUGGACUUCUACCACGAGUAGUUUACCCUUGUAACUUGCGAGAUCUUGAUAGGAGUGAUGCCCUUCCUUUCCUUUCAAAAUGGAAGAUAUAUUGCCUCCGCCCUAUACAUGGUACAAAACUAAUCAUCAAAUGGCAUGAGAAAUUUUGUUUAUCUGUAUGGUCUUGCAUGAUGCUAUCUUUUGAGGCACAAGCUUUUUCGGACGGAGGGAGUAUAAACAUGCAAUAUAUGCUUGGCAUGCAGUUUUCUGAUGUGUACAAGUUGUUUGACCUUGUAUUUUACUGCUUACUAUGUACUCCCUCCAUCCUAAAAUAAGUGUCUCAAGCUUAGUACAAUUUUGUACUAAAGCUAGUACAAAGUUGAGACAGUUAUUUUGGGGCGGAGGGAGUACUAUACAUCCGGAAUUGUAUUUGGAAGUGUCAAAAUUUAUCAUUUAUAAUCAUUGAUAGUUACAUUGCUAGAUAUACACACACUGAAAGUCUGAAAUAUUCUUGAAAAAGCACAUGUCAGCUGUCAUAUCUUCAUUAGAUGUUUUUAAAUCUUUUCCUGGUUUGAUGUUGAUAUUUUGUUAGUUUGUAGAUGCUGCUAGUUUGUACUUUCAAAAAUUUAAACUUGAUUUUGUUUUCUCUGCAGUACAACAAGUUGUGUCUCAAGCUUGUAAGUUCUGUUACAAGGAUGAGAUUGUUAGAAUGCUACAAAACUUCUACGUGAUAGCAGUUGUACCAGUCAACUAGGAUGUCUACAUGAUGUUUCUUGUAUUCAUGGCAGCAACAAAAUCUUGUGGCGCAAGGUUAAGCUCUGAUCUUCAAAAGCAUUGCAAGCUUGGUGAUUCUUCUGCGGGAGACAUGUGGUCCUGUUUAAAUUAUGCUGUUUCACAUGAUGGUGGCGAGUCUGUUAUUCACAAGACAUCUAAUGAAGUCAUCCAAUAAGAAGGUUCCAAACAAACAAUUUGUCUUCGUAGACAUGGCUGUAGCUGCGUGUCAAGCUCAAACCAAUUGUUUAGCUUAGUUUGAACAAAAGAAAUCUUAUUGUCCAUGUAAAUUCUGUUCAUUGAUGUAGUUGGACGCUACUGAAUGCAUGUAUGAAUGUUGUAGUACUGAAUUUUAAUCAUUAUGUGUUUGAGAUUUUCUACUGAA